rnacentral:tRNA from 1 species
GGGGAUGUAGCUCAGAUGGUAGAGCUCUUGCUUAGAAUGUGAGAGUUACAUGGACUUCCAUGCAUUUCCA